GUGACCCAGGUCAGGCGAGAUCACCUGCUGAGUUUAAGCAUAUCAAUAAGCGAAGGAAAAGAAACUAACAAGGAUUCCCUUAGUAACGGCGAGCGUACCGGGAAGAGCCUAGCUUGAAAAUCAGACGUCUUCGGCGUUCGAAUUGUAGUCUGGAGAAGCAUCCUCAGCGACGAACCUGGCCCAAGUUCCCUGGAAAGGGCGCCAGAGAGGGUGAGAGCCCCGUCUUGCCCGGACCCUGUCGCACCAUGAGGCGUAAUCUACGAGUCGGGUAGUUUGGGAAUGCAGCCCCAAUAGGGCGGUAAAUUCCGUCCAAGACUAAAUAUAGGCGAGAGACCGAUAGCGAACAAGUACCGCGAGGUAAAGAUGAAAAGGACUUUGAAAAGAGAGUCAAAGAGUGCUUGAAUUGUCGGGAGGGAAGCGGACGGGGGCCGGCGAUUCAUCCCGGUCGGAUGCGGAACGGAGCAAUCCGGUCCGCUGAUCGAUUCGGGCCGUGGACCGACACAGAUUGAGGUGGUGACCUAUACCGAAGCUUUUUGUUACGCCCGCGGAGACGUUGCUGCCUUAAUCGUGGUCUGCAGCAUGCGCCUCACGGCGUGCCUUGGCAUCUGCGUGCUCAAGGCGUCGGCCUGUGGGCUCCCCAUUCUACCCGUUUUGAAAUACGGACCAAGGAGUCUGACAUGUGUGCCAGUCAAAGGGUGAGUAAACCCGUAAGGCGCAAGGAAGCUGAUUGGCUGGAUCCCUCACGGGUGCACAGCCGACCGACCUUGAUCUUCUGAGAAGGGUUCGACUGUGAGCAUGCCUGUCGGGACCCAGAAAACAGAAGCUCGAGGUGCCGCCAUGCAUGGAAGCUGCACAUGCAGCUUGACAUGUAGAAGCACGAGGUGGAUCGGCCAAGCACGAGAUGUCGCGACGCAUGCAACCGAAGCAUGCUGAUCGACAUGUCUGAGGAUGUGUGGCGCCUUGCAUGAGAAGCAUCUCAGGGCCGUACAGCCACCAUCAGACAUAGUUACGAACAUCCGCGUGCUUAGUCCUAAUAAUGUGCGGAGCAAUAUGUUUAUGGACUAUCAAAUAUGUGACUCAGCACCGGCGUGUACUGACCUGACGUCCCAUAUGAUUAUGGACUAAGCAAGGGGUUGCAUGGGUCCAGCGUGCUGAGUCCAAGGUCGUGUGUUUUUCUAUGUCGAACGAUGUCGACGUCUCGUCGGCGGUCGAUAUGCAAGUCCUCCUACUUGGGUCUCCUAAAUCUGAAAGAAAGAAAACGAAAGUAAAUAAAUGCUAGCUAAUAAAACCAAAAUAAAAUACCUAAUAGUGGGUUGCCUCCCACUCAGCGCUUGGUUAUAGUCAUUAAGCUUGAUUGUGGUAGUGAUUGGCUAUUUGGUGGAUAAACAGCUGCUUGUUGGAAAACAAGCAUCCACUUCAUCUCUGCACAUUCUGGACCAAGAUGCAAUGAAACUUCUUGUGGCCUCACCAUUUCUUGUCCAUUUAUCAUCCAUCUUCUUAAGUACAUUGGAGAUGUUCUGUAGCCUAUCUUGAAUGUUGUCAAUGCUGACCUGGUGCCAGCCUAUGUUGUCAUAGGCGUAUGCUGAAAGUUCUGUCAGUUCCUCGUGCAUUGAUAUCAGCUGCUCGCCGGCUGGUGUAGACUCGGUGUCGACCGAUGCGAUUAAGUGUUCAUCGGUCGAUCUCGGCGACUUACCAUCGAGCGAUUUCGCUCGCUUCCUAUCGAUCGAUGCUGAUAUCUGGUGUUGAGCUGCCAGUUGCCUUUGACUUCUUUCUGUAGCCAUUUUGCGUGGCUCUCUAGUCCACCGAUUCUGUUGUCGAAUGGAAAGUAGAUGUCAUCGCAGCGUUUGUCAAGUCGUUCCUCCAUGGUGUCUAUAGCAGUGUAGAUCUUGGAUGUGAUCUUGUCAACCUCUGCUGCUGUGUAGGGAAGUAACUCC
rnacentral:ncRNA from 1 species